rnacentral:rRNA from 1 species
CCUACGGGCGGCAGCAGUGGGGGAUAUUGCACAAUGGGGGAAACCCUGAUGCAGCGACGCCGCGUGGGCGAAGAAGUAUUUCGGUAUGUAAAGCCCUAUCAGCAGGGAAGAAGAAAUGACGGUACCUGAGUAAGAAGCACCGGCUAAAUACGUGCCAGCAGCCGCGGUAAUACGUAUGGUGCAAGCGUUAUCCGGAAUCAUUGGGCGUAAAGAGUUCGUAGGCGGCACGUAAAGUCUGGUGUUAAAGGCAGAGGCUCAACUUCUGUACGGCACUGGAUACUUGCGAGCUAGAAUGCGGUAGAGGUAAAGGGAAUUCCUGGUGUAGCGGUGAAAUGCUUAGAUAUCAGGAGGAACAUCGGUGGCGUAAGCGCUUUACUGGGCCGUAAUUGACGCUGAGGAACGAAAGCCAGGGUAGCAAAUGGGAUUAGAUACCCGGGUAGUC